rnacentral:rRNA from 1 species
CCUACGGGUGGCAGCAGUGGGGCAUUUUGCGCAAUGCUCGUAAGAGUGACGCAGCGACGCCGCGUGAAUGACGAAGGCCUUCGGGUCGUAACGUUCUUUCGACAGGGAAGAAAAUGCCUAUAAGUAACUGUGUAUGUAUUGACGGUACCUGUAUAAGCAGCCCCGGCUAACUCCGUGCCAGCAGCCGCGGUAAUACGGAGGGGGCGAGCGUUUUUCGGAGGGACUGGGCGUAAAGAGCACGUAGGCGGUGUUGUAAGUCAUUAGUCAACGACUAGAGCGCAACUUUAGUAAGGCUAGUGAUACUAUAAUACUAGAGUAUCAGAGAGGAUUGCAGAAUUCCUGGGGUAGCGGUGAAAUGCGUAGAUAUCAGGAGGAAUACCGUUAGCGAAGGCGGCAAUCUGGCUGGAAACUGACGCUGAGGUGCGAAAGCGUGGGUAGCAAACAGGAUUAGAUACCCGAGUAGUC